UGCACGUCGACAGCGUCGAUAUCUUGAGAGCCACGGAAACCGCAGGUGGUAGCGGCAGCCCGCAUGCCGUGAAAUGUUCCCGUCAACGAAAGAUGUGCCACUUUUUGAAUAUCCAGGUAUGCGGAGAAAAAGCGAUCGACUUCACCCGGAUAAUGCUGUGCACCAGCCGUGAAGGACCAACGCCUCC